rnacentral:rRNA from 1 species
AUCCCAGCUUGCUGGGGGAUUAGUGGCGAACGGGUGAGUAACACGUGAGUAACCUGCCCUUAACUCUGGGAUAAGCCUGGGAAACUGGGUCUAAUACCGGAUAUGACUCCUCAUCGCAUGGUGGGGGGUGGAAAGCUUUAUUGUGGUUUUGGAUGGACUCGCGGCCUAUCAGCUUGUUGGUGAGGUAAUGGCUCACCAAGGCGACGACGGGUAGCCGGCCUGAGAGGGUGACCGGCCACACUGGGACUGAGACACGGCCCAGACUCCUACGGGAGGCAGCAGUGGGGAAUAUUGCACAAUGGGCGAAAGCCUGAUGCAGCGACGCCGCGUGUGUGAAGAAGGCCUGCGGG